UGCUAUUGCAUGUGAGUCAAUUAUAAAGGAGACAUUUCUCAGGAAAAGAAACAUCAUCUUUGGCUAGUCAAGGUACUUAAUUGCAACAGUAGAAAGCCAUUAUGCUAAUUUAAGCUCAAAAGAAACUUCCUGAUAUUGGGUCCUUUUCCACAUCAUUGGGAAAGUCAGAGAACUGAGCUUAGAAAAUGGACCAGAACAGAAAGGUGAACAGCACUUCCCAGCCAAACCAUUGCCCAGAACCAGGCUGGGGAGGUUGUUAUUGCCACAUCUGCUGGGAACCACAGAGCCUCAGCUGGCAUUUCUGCUACCCCACAGCUGCCAGGGACACAGUGCACUCAUUAUUGCUGCCCCUGCUUCCACCCUUUGACGCAGUACCAUAGCCAGGUUCCUUCAUCUCUAGAGUGUUUUCCUGUUGAUUCUCCUAUUCUUCAUCCUCAGAUCCUGGCCCAAGUCUGGGACAGGUGGGAUUCUGAUUGGCUGAGUCUAAACCAUGUGCUCAUCUCCUAGUUAUGAGGGAGACAGGAAAGACAUCAUCUGGACUUCUCAGCUUCCAUGGUGGGAAGAGGAUUCAGCUUCCUGGGAAGACGCAUAAGGUGGUAGAUGCACAAACAGAAGAGCUAUUCCAGUUGCUGGUCCAUCAAAACAACAUGAUAAAGCAAUAAUUGCGCAACACAGAAAUGUCCAGUACGAUUAGUUCCUAAUUUUGUUUUUCACCUGGAAAACAUGUGAGAAAUUGAUCUGGGCUGACUGAUUUGUCAAAAGAACAAAGAAUGUCUUAAAAAAUGUCCAAUGAGAAAUAACAUCAGGGCUGGCUGUGUAGCUUAGUGGUACAGCAUUUGUCUAGCAUGUGCAAGGCCCUGGGUUAAAUCUCUAGCACCACAGGGGGAAAAAAAAGGAAAUGACAGCAACAUCAAAGUGAGAAGGUGUACAAUUGGGGCUGGUGAUGCAGAGUGCUUGCCUACCAUGUAUGAGGACCCAUCCCCAGCACAAGGAAAGGAAAUGGAAAAAAGAAAUACAGCUCAAAUAGAAGGACAAGUAGCCCAACUUAAAAACUGGUCAAAGUAUCUAAAUAGACAUUUCUUCAAAGAAGUUAUACAAAUUGCCAAUGAAAGUUGCUCAAUGUCAUUAGCCAUCAGGGAAAUACAAACCAAAAUCACAGUGAGAUACCAUUUCACAUUCAGAAAAAUGGCUAUAAUAAAAUGACAGAUAAUAAUAAGAGUUGGUGAAGAUGAGGAGGAAUGGAAUCUUCACAUCUUAUUGGGAGGGAAUAUAAAGUGGUACAGCCAUAUUGGAAAACAGUCUAGCUAUUCUUCAAAAGAGUAAACAUAGGGUUAUCGUAUGACCUAGCAAUUCUAUUCCUAGAAAAUAACCAAGAGAAAUAAAAAUGUUUAUCAAAUUGGGCAAAAACAUGUACAUAAAUGUUUAUAGAAACAUUAUUCAUAAUAGCCAAAAGGUAAAAACAACCCAAACUUCCAUCAACUGAUGAGUCAAUAAAUAAAAUAUGGUAUGUCUACACAAUGGAAUAUUAUUUGACCAUAAAAGAGAAUAGUAUACAGAUACUUGCUACAUUACAGGUGAAUCUUGAAAAAUAGUAAAAUAUGCCAGAUGCAAAAAGCUAGGUGUGGUAUGAUUCCAUUUAAUGACAGAUUCAGAAU
rnacentral:lncRNA from 1 species